CCUACGGGUGGCUGCAGUGGGGAAUAUUGGACAAUGGGCGAAAGCCUGAUCCAGCCAUGCCGCGUGUGUGAAGAAGGCCUUCGGGUUGUAAAGCACUUUCAGUGGGGAAGAAAGCCUUGGGGCUAAUACCCUCGAGGAAGGACAUCACCCACAGAAGAAGCACCGGCUAACUCCGUGCCAGCAGCCGCGGUAAUACGGAGGGUGCGAGCGUUAAUCGGAAUUACUGGGCGUAAAGCGCGCGUAGGCGGUCUGAUAAGCCGGUUGUGAAAGCCCCGGGCUCAACCUGGGAACGGCAUCCGGAACUGUCAGGCUAGAGUGCAGGAGAGGUAGGUAGAAUUCCCGGUGUAGCGGUGAAAUGCGUAGAGAUCGGGAGGAAUACCAGUGGCGAAGGCGGUCUUCUGGACUGACACUGACGCUGAGGUGCGAAAGCGUGGGUAGCAAACAGGAUUAGAUACCCUAGUAGUC
rnacentral:rRNA from 1 species